AAGGCUUUAAGUUAAUUAAAACUAAUAGUCUUCAAAGCUAUAUAUAUAAGUAUAAAUCUUUUAAGCCUUA
rnacentral:tRNA from 1 species